rnacentral:rRNA from 1 species
AUUGAACGCUGGCGGCAGGCCUAACACAUGCAAGUCGAGCGGUAGAGAGAAGCUUGCUUCUCUUGAGAGCGGCGGACGGGUGAGUAAUGCCUAGGAAUCUGCCUGGUAGUGGGGGAUAACGUUCGGAAACGGACGCUAAUACCGCAUACGUCCUACGGGAGAAAGCAGGGGACCUUCGGGCCUUGCGCUAUCAGAUGAGCCUAGGUCGGAUUAGCUAGUUGGUGGGGUAAUGGCUCACCAAGGCGACGAUCCGUAACUGGUCUGAGAGGAUGAUCAGUCACACUGGAACUGAGACACGGUCCAGACUCCUACGGGAGGCAGCUGUGGGGAAUAUUGGACAAUGGGCGAAAGCCUGAUCCAGCCAUGCCGCGUGUAUGAAGAAGGUCUUCGGAUUGUAAAGCACUUUAAGUUGGGAGGAAGGGCAGUAAAUUAAUACUUUGCUGUUUUGACGUUACCGACAGAAUAAGCACCGGCUAACUCUGUG